UGUAUGUUAUUGUGUUUCAUUGGUUCUGUUUUAUGUCUCUGUGUGACAGGAGGCCAUGCAGCAGUGGUACCAACACUACCAUGCACAGAACUAUGGCAACUCUAGCCAAGAGACAGCUGCAGUUACUGAAUGCACAAAAGAGCAACCUCAGGUGGUGGUCACCUCCUCAUACGGAGACUACAGUUCCUACAUGCAUGCUGUCAGUCAGUACUAUUCUCAGACGCAGAUGAGCCAGACAGCUGCUCAAGUCUACCAGCACCGAGAUGUCAGCAAGGAGGUGGAGGUGGUGAAGACCCCCUUGAGUGGGCCUCUGCACACCUCUCUGAACGGCACUGCUCAGACCCUGCUGCCCACCUACAGUGCCCUACCCAUCAUGCCUAGCUUCAUCACACCAACUCACACGCACACACACAUGCCCAGUCCUGCCGCGCACACACCCGCCGCACCCUCAGCCACCGACUGGAACAACUACUAUUAUAGUCAGGCUAGAGGGCAGAAGCGAGAAUACCCCACACUGCCGACACAGGAAGUGACAUCAGAGGGACCGUAUGUAGGCCAGCACUCACAGGGUCUUGGGGGCCAGUACGCCGACUACUUCAAGAAGAAGAGGAUCUAACUCGUAUGUUGCCGUUGUCAUGUCCAGGCCUUAACUUGUAGUCUAUUACUGAUAUUUAUGAAAAGAUUGUACAAUUUAUUGUACGUAAGGAGGUUUAUUCCUCUUCUUGAACUGUAUGUGGAUCUGGGUACUGUUGUUAUUUCUGUCCGACGCCAGGCGGGACCUCUUAAGAUUGCUCUGACUCUGUCCCAAAUGAUGCAUUAAGAUAAUUGAUAUAUCUCUUUUUCUGUUCUGCCUGUUUACCUCUCCCCCAGGCGGGACGUACCAUUCCACUCCAGAGGGGGGGUUUAUGUGUCCGUGUUUAACUGUACAAACGGUUAAGGGCUGAUAAAGAUUGAGCUACACUCAGAGAAUAACAAUUUUCAAAGAUUUUUUUUUUCUGACAGGGUAGGGCAUA
rnacentral:lncRNA from 1 species